rnacentral:lncRNA from 1 species
CUCGUCCUAACCUCCGUUUUCUCACCGUUAGUCAGCAUUAUUUUUUUCUUUUAAUUUUCAGUGGGCCCCACCUUCUUCACCUUCUUGAAUACAGCCAACUCAAGAAAAAAGGGUGAAACAAUUUCAAUAGAGUUCAUCCUAAAAGACUUCAGACUCAUGUUUCCAAAUGCACCGCAUUUUCACUCCCCAAUAUCCCCUCAACAUUUUGUGCUACAAAAAUCCGUCUUAAUUCCUAGAAAUUCCAAAAAUCACAAAAUCUCUGCAUCGAUGCACACUCAAUAAUCAAUAACUUAAUCAACGGCUCGAGCAGCGCAUUUCAAAUGCAGUCUUCUUACGAAUAGCAUAGGCCACAUAAGCUGCUAGCCAACAUUUCAAUAGAAGUUGAAAACUCACACCAGCUUCAACAGAUUAAAAGAGCGCAAUCAACGGUCAACUAGCACAAAUCCAUCGCACAAAAACCAAUCGGGUCACUUACAAAUACCAGAAAACACAUCUCCCACUUUCAGAGCCGAAAUCAAAUUUACAUGCGUUGAAUCAUAGAGAAUCGGUAAAAUCGAUUUCUUCGUUUUAUUUCUUGAUUGGAUUAACUUUUCUGGAGCAGGGAUGCGGCAAGUGACUUCAGAUGAUGGUGAGCAAAUUGUUAUUGACCAGUACUGGGACUAUCUUACUUCAUUGCGAAGAACAGCUGCGGCGCCAAAGGCGCUAACAUGCGCAGCGGCGUGUUUAAGAGUGAUGAGGAGAUGGCAAAUUUUCAGCGCGCUUGCAUGAUCGACAAAUAGAUGGAGAAGAAGAUGAUCGAGAAGGCCGUGGGUCGGAGGAAUUCCGUCACCGAUUUUCAGGUGAAGAAGUCGCGCAAAGAUCGCGAGAGUUCCAGCUGGAGCUCCUCCUGUUCGAGCUACGCGACCGCCGUCGGAUUCUUCUUCUCGUUGGAGGUGGAGUCAUUCCAGGUGCAGCAGCCGAAGCUGAUACGAACGGGGUUCGAGAAGGAGAAAUUUGGCGGAAAUCGCCGCAAAUUGGAGCUGAAACGUAAAAUCGAAGGCGGAUUCUCCCAUUCAUGAAUUGUAAAUAAAAUACCUGUAAAUCAGAUAGGUAUCUACCAUUGCGGCUUCCAGGGGCGGAGCCAGGAUUUUUUUUGGGGGGGGCUGAACUGUUACGGGGUUCGGGGCGGUAGGCCCCGAUUUUUUUUUGGGGGGCAUUCAAUACAUUUUAGACAUUUUUUACUAAAAUACAAAUAUAAUAAUAAUAAUAACAACAUUUUCAUAGAUAAUAUAGUUCAAAACAUUUACUAAAUUUUUUUUGGGGGGCAUUCAAUACAUUUUAGACAUUUUUUUACUAAAAUACAAAUAUAAUAAUAAUAAUAACAACAUUUUCAUAGAUAAUAUAGUUCAAAACAUUUACUAAAAUUUUUUUUGGGGGCAUUCAAUACAUUUUAGACAUUUUUUACUAAAAUACAAAUAUAAUAAUAAUAAUAACAACAUUUUCAUAGAUAAUAUAGUUCAACAUUUACUAAAAAUUUUUUUGGGGGGCAUUCAAUACAUUUUAGGCAUUUUACUAAAAUACAAAUAUAAUAAUUAAUAAUAAUAACAACAUUUUUAGACAUAUUAUAAAAAUAAAUAAAAANAGCGUAUAUCUCCUCAUUCUCACUAGUGUAGCCCUUAUAGCGUAUAUCUCCUCAUUCUCACUGUGUGUGCAACUAAACCCCCAACUCAAGAAAAAGGGUGCAAAUACCCCCCUCGCCCUAAUCUCCGUUUUCUCACCGUUAGUCAGCAUUAUUUUUUUAUUUUUAAUUUUCUGUUGGGCCCACCUUCUUCACCGUUAGCUUUUUGUUUACUUUUGAAGUCUAAACUAUUACUUUAUGGUUUAAGGGGCUUGGCAUGCGGCAAGUGACUUUAGAUGGUGGUGAGCGAAUUGUUGAUGCCCAGCCCGAUGUUGAGGGUUUUGAAGAUGUUGAAGAUGAGGAGGAUGAGCUAGCUUGCAUGGUUUGCCGCGAGGGCUACCGAUUGAGACCUACAGAUUUGUUGGGUGUUUACACUUACAGUAAGCGUGUGAAUUUGGGUGUUGGAACGUCAUGAAGUGCCCGUGGUGAUUGUGUUUAUACAACUGUCAGCCAUUUCAAUAUCAUACAUUUCCAGUGCCAUCAAGAAGCUAAACGAGCCGAUGCUGGCCUAAGAAAUCCAAAGAAGGAAUGGGAUGGUGCAGCCUUGAGGAACAAUGAAACUCUUUGUAAUAAUUUGUUUCCCCUGAGAGGACCCUCUGUUCUGAUGGGACAAUACUUGUGUUAUGUUGACCAGUACUAAGACUAUCUUACUUCAUUGCGAAGAACAGCUGCGGCGCCGAAGGCGCUAACAUGCGCGGCGGCGUGUUUAAGAGUGAUGAGGAGAUGGAGAAUUUCCAGCGCGCUUGCAUGAUCGAGAAAUAGAUGGAGAAGAAGGUGAUCGAGAAGGCAGUCGGUCGAAGGAAUUCCGUCACCGAUUUUCAGGUGAAGAAGCCGCGCAAAGAUCACGAGAGUUCCAGCUGGAGCUCCUCCUGUUCGAGCUACGCGACCGCCGUCGGAUUCUUCUUCUCGUUGGAGGUGGAGUCAUUCCAGGUGCAGCAGCCGAAGCUGAUACGAACGGGGUUCGAGAAGGAGA